rnacentral:lncRNA from 7 species
UGGGCCUAGAGUGACGAUGGGAAGCAGAGACACAGCAGAAAGCGACUCAACUUAACACCUUGCCGGAACAGCCCCUGCGCGCUCUCAUUCCUUCCUUCCGCGACACUAUCCUGUAAUCCUUCCAACAGAGCAGAGACUUCCAGCAAAGCACCGCGACAGCUCCUCCGGUGUUGGGGAUUGAACCACAGCCUUUGUGUAUGCUGGGAAGACGACUUACCACCGAGGCAUACUAGACAACUUUAACAUCAUUUUUCUUUUUUAGACAGUCUCUCUUAUGUAGUUCUGGCUGUCCUGGAACUUGGUAUGUAGAGCAAGUUGGCUUCCAAUCCAGAGAUCCUCCUGCUUCUAAGUACUAGGAUUAAAGGUUAAUGUACCUCACACCCACCUCACACUUACUUUUUGAGUGUGAGUGUGUGUCUGUAGCGGGCAGGGCAGGACUUGUCAUAUAUACUAGCUGGCCACAAACUCUUAUGGUCAUUCUUUUGAAUGUGCCUUUGCCUCUCCAGUGCGGAGAUUGUGGGCAUGUGCCACAACAGGAGGCUUUCCUGUUUCUUUUUUUAAAAAUACAGUCUCACUAUGUUCCCCAGGCUUGGCCUCCCAAGUGCUACAACUACAGGCAUGAGCCACAUGCCUGACUUAACUCACACAGCCUUAGAAAGGGGAACACUCAACCUAAGUCAGAUUUGGGAGUCGUGUGGAAAUAUAGAACUAGCCUUUCCCUAAGCUUCCCCCCACCCCCCCUUUUUACCACGUAAAUGUAUCAGUCCACAUUU